rfam:Oryza punctata chromosome 4, whole genome shotgun sequence.
UUCUACCACACUUUUGCACUGUUUAUGUUCAACUUUUGACCAUCCGUCUUAUUUGAAAAUUUUUAUGAUUAAUAUUUUUAUUGUUAUUGGAUGAUAAAACAUGAAUAGUACUUUACGUAUGAUUAUUUUUUUAAAUUUUUUUCAUAAAUUUUUCAAAUAAGACGGGCGGUCAAACGUUGGACACGGAAACCCUCAACUACAAUUAAA